GGGCUAGUGGCGCAGCCAGGUAGCGCGGCAGGCUUUUAACCUGAAGCUCGCGGGUUCGAACGGCGUAGACGAUUCGUGACGCUUGAAAAUCCCGCCUAGCCCGCCA
rnacentral:tRNA from 1 species